rnacentral:misc_RNA from 1 species
AAGAGAUUAUUCUAGGCUAAGCAAUGCCUUGGAUAUCAUACUUCGAAAGACCAACUAUCGAAAAUCUGCAGACCCUGCUGCCCAUACGCUGCUAUAUUAGCAAGUCUAUCUGUUGCAAAAUUAGCUUCACGAAAGCAAUGAGAAAUAACAGCCUCUCACUGCUUAUGCAACAACUGCUGACAUUUGUGAAUCAAACCAAGCAUACGCAAGUAUCCUGACUGUUGCCUUGCAUCAUAUCCACAACCACUUCAGAGUCAGGCUGCACUUCCACCCUUUUAUAACCCAUCACCCAGGCUAGAUGAAGACCCUGGUAAAAGGCAUAAAGUUCUGCUCGCAUCGUAGAAUAGAACCCCAACCGAAUAAUGAACAGAGCACACCACCUUCCCAAAUGAUCAUGCAGGACCACCACCUCGCCCAUGACCCGGGUUCCCCUUUGAAGGCAUGGAUACCCAUGAUAGACUCUAUUUAAGUUCUGG